UACGAAGGGGGCUAGCGUUGUUCGGAUUUACUGGGCGUAAAGGGAGCGUAGGUGGUUAGGUAAGCCCUCCGGGAAAUCUUCAGGCUUAACCUGAAAAGGUCGGGGGGGACUGCCUGGCUAGAGGACGGGAGAGGAGCGCGGAAUUCCCGGUGUAGCGGUGAAAUGCGUAGAGAUCGGGAGGAAGGCCGGUGGCGAAGGCGGCGCUCUGGAACGUUUCUGACACUGAGGCUCGAAAGCGUGGGGAGCAAACAGG
rnacentral:rRNA from 1 species